rnacentral:rRNA from 1 species
UCCACGCCGUAAACGGUGAAUACUAGGUGUAGGAGGUAUCGACUCCUCCUGUGCCGCAGCUAACGCAAUAAGUAUUCCACCUGGGGAGUACGGCCGCAAGGUUGAAACUCAAAGGAAUUGACGGGGGCCCGCACAAGCAGUGGAGUAUGUGGUUUAAUUCGACGCAACGCGAAGAACCUUACCAGGGCUUGACAUCCUCUGACGGCUAUAGAGAUAUAGCGUUCCCUUCGGGGACAGAGAGACAGGUGGUGCAUGGUUGUCGUCAGCUCGUGUCGUGAGAUGUUGGGUUAAGUCCCG